UUAAACUGAAGAGUUUGAUCAUGGCUCAGAUUGAACGCUGGCGGCAGGCUUAACACAUGCAAGUCGAGCGGGA
rnacentral:rRNA from 1 species